GCCGACGUAGCUCAGGGGUAGAGCAGCACUUUCGUAAAGUGCGGGUCGGGGGUUCGAAUCCCUUCGUCGGCU
rnacentral:tRNA from 1 species